AUUGAACGCUGGCGGCAGGCCUAACACAUGCAAGUCGAGCGGAGCGGCGGACGGGUGCGUGAUGCCUAGGAAUCUGCCUGGUAGUUGUGGAUAACGUCCGGAAACGGGCGCUAAUACCGCAUCCUAUCAGAUGCGCCUAGGUCGGAUUAGCUAGUUGGUGGGGUAAAGGCCUACAAAGGCGACGAUCAGUAACUGUGCUGAGAGGAUGAUCAGUCACACUGGAACUGAGACACGGUCCAGACUCCUACGGGAGGAAGCAGUGGGGAAUAUUGGACAAGGGGCGAAAGCCUGAUCCAGCCAUGCCGCGUGUGUGAAGAAGGCCUUCGGAUUGUAAAGUACUUUAAGUUGGGAGGCGUUACCAACAGAAUAAGCACCGGCUAACUUCGUGCCAGCAGCCGCGGUAAUUC
rnacentral:rRNA from 1 species